UAUAAUCUCAUUAUCUAUAGCAGUAGCGAAAAAACAUUAGAACGAAAGCUUGCCGUUCAAAGGAAUCGAACGUUGUUGUCCAUCAUGUUUAUCUAUUUGAGCAAAAAGAUCGCUAUACCUAAUAAUGUUCGACUGCGCUGCUUGGGAUGGAACAGAGGGCAAGGUUAUAUUGCUUGUGGCGGAGAAGAUGGCUUGCUAAAAGUACUAAAAUUGGAAACUCAGCAAGG